CGUUUCACAACCCUGCUGACAGCCGAGGAUCCAGGAAGGAACCAGAGAGGGUCAACCAGAGACACUGCAGGUGGGCGGGGCCAGCGGGGCUCUGGGUGGAGCUGGUUCCUGAGGACUGGAGGCUCCACUGCGGCGCUGGACUGGAACGCAACGAGUGGAGAGAAAAACCUUCCUGUUGGCUUUUAAAGGAAACUUCAAGACAUGUCUUCAACACUGGAGAAAUGGGACAGCAGAGACCUGCCGCCUGACCUGUCAGAUCUGGUCAAUAAACUUCAGCUGGAUUCAGAUUCUUUCACCUCGCUGCUCAACAGCAAUGAACCAAGGAUGAGGGAGAUCGUGGAGGAGCUUCUGAGGAUUUCUGAAGAAGUCAAAGACAUGCAGAGAAGAAAAGACAGUCAGAGAAGAGUUGGAGCUGUUGUUGGAGCUGUAGGUGGAGUUGGAGCUGCUGUCUUCCUGCUCGGUGCAGCAUUCCCACUUACUCUUCCAAUUGCUGCAGCUCUUGCAGGUGGAGGUGCUGUCAUAUAUGCAAAUGUCACUAAAAUGCUGGUUGAGAGUGGAAAUGCUGAAAAGGUGAAGAAUCUGGGAGCAGAGUUGAUGGAGAUUGUUGAACCGAUGAAGCAGCUCUUGGUUCAUAUCCAUCAAACAUGUAAAGAUCUGGAGGAGAAAGGCUCCAAGUAUCAGGCUGAAGAGUCCCUGAAAGAUGUGGAGGAUCUUCAGAAGGUCCUCCAUCAGGUGUCUGAGCUGAAGAAGAAGAGUGGAGGAGCUGUUCAUGUGGUGGAGGUGUUGAUUCAAUCAGUGACCAGCCUGCUGCUGCUGCUCGUGAACGUUUUCAGAGUCACUGCAACACCUGAAGAAGACCAGAAGCUGAGAGACGCCAUCAUUCAGUCAGCUGAUCAGAGCCAGAGGCUCACUGAGGACUUCUGUCUGAUGAGGGAGGAACUGGCAAAGUUCAGGAAGUGAAGAGAACACACACACGUCCUGUGUGUUCACUAUUAACAUGUCAAAUUAUCUCAUUAAUUCAGUUCAGUCAUUACAGUCAGAUUUAGCAACUUUUGUUCUUUUAUCCUGUUAAUCUAGUUAUUAAUUUCCAGCUGUAUUGCUUCUGUGUGUGAGUUUCCUUCAUAUAAAAAACUUUUUCAUGCUUUGGGCUUCUUGUGCUUGAGCUGCUGGCAGGGCUGUGACCAGAUCUCGCGAGAUUAACCCAUGACGAGAUUUCCGGUUUCAAUGCAGAAGGCAGCAGCUGGGACAUUUCGCCAAACAUGGACAACGGAGCAGUUUUUCUGGCAAAUUCCAGUCGGAGCGGACAGGAAAACGGUCAGGAGACAGUUUGAAGUCCGUCUUCCAGCGUCCUGCAGAAGAUACUGACGGUUCUUGGCUUGAUGAAGCUUCUUCUCCUGGCCUGGAGUUUGUUUACAGCAGCGGAGUGUGGAGCUCCGGCUCUGUCUUCUUCUCUGGUGAAUUUCUGGCAGUUAGUUACAGAGUCACAGCGCCACAGCGCUCCUAAAGGCCUGGCAGAGGAACUACAUCGUCGUGAGUCGUUCUCAUGAUGCAGACACUUCUAAGCCCCAAAAUAUUCCUAUUUCAGGAACAUUUAGACUUAAAGUCACUGUUAUUCAACCAAAAAGGUUUUUUUAUAUAUUAUUUGCCAGAAAUGAUACAGGUAUUUUCCAAAAGUUAAGAAGAUGUACAAGAAGCACCGUUGUGGAAAAACAAUAUUUCUAUGUGUUUAUUUACUUUGAAAUAAAAAGUGUCAUGUCCAGAAUUAUUCCCACUCGUC